GUCUACCAUCAUCUCUAGUCACUCGAUCUUGUUGUUUCCAGAGCAAAAGGUAGGAGAGGAAGUGGGCAGAGCAGGAGCAUGGACAGAGAAUCAAGCAUGAUGCUGGAUAGAAUGAAGAAGCAUCCUCAGGUCUGAAGACGGUCCAGCUUACCUCAUGCAUACAUAGCCACAAUUUCAUCCAGACUCUCCAAUCAGAAAGACCAAAGCAACUGAGGAUACUGAUAAGGUGUGAGGAGUACCGCUGAAGCAAGCUCUUCCUGGUGAUGAAUUUAUUCUGGGCAAGGCAUGACAAAGAUGAUGGUGGAGUUAA
rnacentral:lncRNA from 1 species